rnacentral:lncRNA from 1 species
UCUGCGGCUCGGCGGCGCUUCGCGAGCCCCCCGCCAAACGCCCGGUUUGGGGCGUGUGGGGAAAGAAACGGCGCCUCUCGCCCCGUGUGCCCGGGGGGUCAGGCACCCGCUCGUGCCCCAGCGGAGCUGUGGGUGUGAGGGAACGAGGGGAAAUACAGAGCGCCGGGAUGGCAGGCACGGUGCCUUACCUGCCCUGAUCGGCAAGCUGUGUGCUCAAAGUCAUUUCAGUGAAGACUUGGCUUUGUCAAACUGUACAUUAACACUUGCUUUUUCAUGGGUUGAAUAUCCAGAUUCACAACUUGCUGUCGUAUUGGAGCAUGGGGGAGCUUGCACGACUGCAGCUUGCAUGAGCUCUUCUCAGCACCUGCGCCGUGAGGUUGUCUCGCCGAGCAGAGCUGCUGCCUGAUGCCCACUGACAGAAACUAUUGGGUCUCUUCGUGACAGCACUGCACAGGAAACUGGUUACUGUAAAUGUGCCUCUCACCAGCGUAUCAUGGGAGAUGUGACAGAGAAGGAGAUGGAUAACCUCACGUUCAAAAGUGACACUGUGCUUUCUGACGUUCACAUACACUGUCCAAACAAGAGACAUCUCAUGGUACGGUUGAAUGCAGUUGGACAACCAGGUAAUGUGUAUUUAGACUGAUGGAACUGUAUUUUAAGUAUAUUUGAAUAUCUUUGUAACGGCUGAAUCCUCUUUUGAAUGGUUGAUAGUAAUCAGUACAUAUUUUGCUCCGGCUAGAAGCAGAAUUGCUUCCUGCUCAGUCUUUAGGAAGAGGGCUAACUGGAUUGUCCUUGUGAAAUUAAAUACAUAAAUUAAAACUAUUAAUGUGGAAUUUGUAGACAACCCAUGUUAAAAAAAAAAAAACAAAAAAAAAACAAACAAAAAAAAAAAACACAAGUUACUUUCUGAGAAGUAACCCCAUUAACCUUCAUGAUGGCUUAAUUUUAUUUAUCUGUAAUCUCAGGACAGCACCUUGGGAAUCAUGUUAAAAAGUUAGGAUGUUUCUUGCAUGUAGACUAAAGCUGAGAAGCUAUUGGUUUUAAAUAUUAUCGCUUAAAAUAAAAAGAUAAUUAUUCAUGAUUUCUAUAAAAUU